AUAAUAAUUAUAACUACAAGGUAUUGAAAAAUGUUUCACUCAUCAUUGAACAAGAAAUACCUUAAAGAACAGGACACAGCUGUAAUGUUAAACUUUGUUCUUUCUCUAGGAAGAAAAUAAAAUGAAAUGCAUUAAGGGAUGCAUGUGUGACUUCAGCGAACAAUUUCAGCAGAAAAACUUGCCUGAUAUUAGCCAACAAUACUGGAAAUUAAGAAGGAGGCAUUGUCCGGUUUCGGUGGCUCACGCCUGUAAUCCCAGCACUUUCGGAAGCUGAGGUGGAUCACGAGGUCAGGAGAUUGAGACCAUUCUGGCUAACACGGUGAAACCCCGUUUCUACUAAAAAAACAAAAAAAUUAGCCAGGCGUGGUGGCGGGCGCCUGUAGUCCCAGCUACUCCGGAGACUGAGGCAGGAAAAUGGCGAGAACGCGGGAGGCGGAGCUUGCAGUGAGCCAAGAUGGCGCCACUCCACUCCAGCCUGGGCGAUCGAGCGAGACUCUGUAUCCAGAAAAAAGAAAAGAAAAAAAAAAAGAAAAAAUGAAGAAGAAGGAGAAGGAAAAGGAGAAGACGACGACACUGAGGCCAGGUGCAGUGGCUCACGCCUGUAAUUCCAGCACUUUGGGAGGCCGAGCAGGUGGCCUGGAGAGGAAGAGAAAUGGCGUUAUCACAAAAAGGAAUCUAUAGUACUUGAAAACAAGCAAGAUACAGCAAGACAGAGAAAGAUGAACCUAAGAAGAAUAAGACUUUUUUGUUUUUAGUUUGGAUGACGAAGCAAAUAAUGGAACCUGUGACAGGAAAAUUGGUAUGUGAAGAUGAUUAAUUUAAUAUUUGGCAUUAUAAGGCUUACUGAAUGGUAAGAUAAAUAAUAAGAUAAUCAGUAAGAUAUUGCAGGUGUAGGACCUGAUCUCAGUAGAUACAAAAGGAAGUUCGGUUAUAAAACUUAGUCAGCAG
rnacentral:lncRNA from 1 species